rnacentral:rRNA from 1 species
GGGGAAUAUUGCGCAAUGGUGGAAACCCUGACGCAGCAAUACCGCGUGAGUGAAGAAGGUUUUCGGAUCGUAAAGCUCUGUUAUUGGGGAAGAAAAAAAGACGGUACCCAAGAGGAAAGUCCCGGCUAACUACGUGCCAGCAGCCGCGGUAAUACGUAGGUGGCAAGCGUUAUCCGGAAUUAUUGGGCGUAAAGAGUGAGCAGGCGGCCGUUUAAGUCAGAUGUGAAAUCCCCGGGCUUAACCUGGGAGCUGCAUUUGAUACUGGGUGUCUAGAGUGUAGGAGAGGAAAGUGGAAUUCCUAGUGUAGCGGUGAAAUGCGUAGAGAUUAGGAAGAACACAAGUGGCGAAGGCGACUUUCUGGACUAUAACUGACGCUGAGAUACGAAAGCGUGGGGAGCAAACA